GAUGAACGCUAGCGGCAGGCCUAACACAUGCAAGUCGAGGGGUAGAGGAAGCUUGCUUCCUUGAGACCGGCGCACGGGUGCGUAACGCGUAUGCAAUCUACCUUGUACAGAGGGAUAGCCCAGAGAAAUUUGGAUUAAUACCUCAUAGUAUUAUUGAAUGGCAUCAUUUAAUAAUUAAAGUUCCAACGGUACAAGAUGAGCAUGCGUCCUAUUAGCUAGUUGGUGUGGUAACGGCUUACCAAGGCUACGAUAGGUAGGGGUCCUGAGAGGGGGAUCCCCCACACUGGGACUGAGACACGGACCAGACUCCUACGGGAGGCAGCAGUGAGGAAUAUUGGACAAUGGGCGCAAGCCUGAUCCAGCCAUGCCGCGUGCAGGAAGACGCAUCUAUGGUGUGUAAACUGCUUUUGUACGGGAAGAAACACUCCCUCGUGAGGGAGCUUGACGGUACCGUAAGAAUAAGGAUCGGCUAACUCCGUGCCAGCCGCCGCAGUAACAC
rnacentral:rRNA from 1 species